CCACAUCUCCACACUGAGUCUCAUUCUAGAUUUCAGUGGAAAAAGAAUCCCCUGGGUUACUCUUACAAAUAUAGAUUCCUGAUUCCCACUCACACAUUCCAUAGGUCCUAAGGAGCCACUAGUGGUAAUGAACCCGCCUCCCAGUGUAGCAGACUUAAGAGAUGUGGAUUUGAUCCCUGGGUCGGGAAGAUCCCCUGGAGGAAGGCACAGCAACCCAGCCCAGUAUACUUGCCAUGGACAGUCAAGAAGAAUGGGCGCCCCCUAGCAACAGUAAUCGGUAGUGGACCCCGAAGGACCCAGAUGAGGGGCGGGGGCGGAGGGGGUGCGGCUCCAGAUGGGGUAGGCUGCCUGGCAGUUUUCUUCUCACAGGAGCCAACUCCUUCCAGCAUGACGGACACCUGGGAUCCCAAAACAGCUGGGCUGGAAGGGCCCUCGAGAAACGAACUACCAACACGUGCCCUGUGUCAGGCCCUGAAGGUGGGCUUUUUCCUGAACAUUGUCAUAACACUCUGCUUCGAGAGCCUUCCCCUGAAAGAUGAAGUCGUGGCCACAUGGGGAGGUGCAUAUUAUAGAUUCCUGGAUCUCUCCGAUGUCUUUUCUCCCUCAUCCGCAUUGAUCCCCACCGGCGACAGAAAUUCUUCCCCUCCACUAGCGAGUGAAGGCACGAGACUACAUUUCCCGGCAGGUGGUCAGAAGCGGGUGGCGAGGAGAGAAGGAAAGACCCUCUCCCUUUCCCUCUGCUCUCAUUUUGGACUGUUGCUGGAGAUGCACAUUUCAGCACCGCGUGUUCUUUCUCUGUUGAGCUAAGGAAGGGACUACGUCCCCCAGCAGGCACUGGCACAGAGCAUGUGCUAGGCCGCCAUCUUAUUGUAGUCCUUUCUCCUGUUUCCACAAGCAGUAGCCUUAGCGAAUGAA